rnacentral:lncRNA from 1 species
AUGAUGAUCAGGAUGAUUGACAAGGAAGAAAUGUUCCACAGGCUUGCUAUCUGAUUCAUCGGGGUCUGGUGGUAUGUUCCGUACAAGAACCUACAAUAAAAACACAUUGAUGACUCAGAAUCAAAAGAAUAAUCAGAGAACCAUUAAUCUAGAUAAGAUCAUUGUUGUAUGCAGCAUUCUUUUUUCUAGCAAAGGGGUCUAAACUGAGCUCAUGUAUAAGUUGCAAUCACAAAGGGAUCCCAUGGCCUCAAUCCUCAGCUCCAUCUCUCUAUCCUGAUCUGAUUCUCUCCGUCUUGAACCAAAUAGAGAAAAGAGGGGAGAUGAACCUGAGGGAGGAAGGCGAUCGCAUGGUGGCGAACGCAGGAGGAACCGGAGGACGGGAGCAUGGUGGUUGAUGCCUAGGGUUUAGCGCAGAUCGUGGCGGCGUCUCCUCUGGGAGGUCGGCGGCGUGCGAAGGCGAAGGCGUACCUCAGCAGAGGUCUCCAGAUGGCGACCCAGAGGUCCACAACGAUGGCGGCGCCGCCUCCACGACCCCUCGGAGCCGGCAAAGGGAUCCGCGGCUUGCGCCUGGGAUCUGCCAGGCGGCGGCGUUCGCGUCGCGAAUAGAUCCAGGGGUCGUCGCUCCUUCACCUCGUACGUGCGGGCGAUAGGUUUAGGUUUUUUUGUCGCUGGUUAAUUUUCGUAGGUCUUUUAUCGUUGGUUAACCUUCGUAGGUCUUUUUUCGGUCGUACGUGCAUGGGUGCGGGUUGGGGUCUCAGCACGAGGUUUUUUCGGUUUGUGGUGGCUAAGUCAGAGGUGGGAGGAUGUACCAAAAAAAACCAUAGGAGGUGGGACUAAAAAAAACCUGGAAGCGAGACUACCAACUGCUCCAUUAGGAGUAGAGAUAGUGGGGAGUAACAUAUGUGUGCUGUCAUGCAAUGCUUUAUUUAUUAGCUUGUAGACUUAGCUUAUCUUGGUAUGUGUAAUAUUACUUCCUUUAUCUUAGUUUACAAGUCUUGCGUGUGUAUUUAGGUCAUUAAUUUGACCAACUUAAUAAGAGGCAUGUAGUACAAAAAAUAUGUCAUUAGAAACUUUAGAUAUUCUAUUUUCUAAUGAUAUAAUUUUUAUAUUAAACAAUUUAUCUUAUAUAAGUUAAACUGAUGACUUAGAUACAUGUGCAAGCCUUGUAAACUAAGAUGAAGGGAGUACUCAUAGUAUGAGUAAUUAGCUAUGUUAUUGAAUUCAUCUCUCUCCUUGUUAAAUCAUUGUCACAUAAACAAAUUUGCUGAGUUUGACUUUAUGUUACUGCUGAAGUUACUCACAUUAUGGGCAGUCAUACUAAUGCAAGGCCGAACCAUCAGAUUGCUCCACCCCAACACAUAGUUGAAAUAAAUGUCAAUGUUGCUCUACUGCAGUAUGCAUCAUUACCAGUUGUGGCCGCGGUGUGCAGAGACCGAUCGGGUAUUUAUAUUAGAUCUUGAGCUAUUUCUCUUGUGGGAAAUUUAGAUCCCACAACACUUGAAGCCUUUGCAUUCCAAGAAGCGCUGGUCCUUGCAGAUGACUUCUAGGAGCGAAGAAUUUUUGUUGCUUCAGAUUGCAAGAUUGUCAUUUGAUGAUAUCAAGCAGAAGAGUGCGGUUGUAUAUGGCGCAAUUAUCUGAGAAAUGUUAGAUCAUUCUAGAUUUUUUAUUAGUUGCCCUUCUAGUCAUGAAUUAGGAGGCUGGAUACCAAGACUCACAAUUUAGUGAAGCAUGCUCUCUCACUGGGGUUGGCCCUCAUGUUUGGUUAGGUAUCCCCGGUGAUCUUACUUUCGCCUUUGUAAAUAUUGUGACGAGUUACAUAAGCUUCAUGAGAUUGUCUACAAAAAUAUAUUUUAGAUUAUUGAAAAUUCGAGAACAUAUCUUGAAAAAUGUGAAUGUUUUUAGAAAUUAUUAAAAUUGGGAACAUGUUUUGAAUGUUUUCAAAAUGUGAUUUUUUUAAUAUUUUGAACAAAUUUUAAAGAUAUUUUUUUGAAAUUGUGAAAAAAGUAAUUCUAUAAAUUAUUUUUAAUUUUUAUAGAUUUUUAACAAUUUUAUUUUUUAACACUUUUUA